rnacentral:rRNA from 1 species
UACGAAGGGAGCUAGCGUUGUUCGGAAUCACUGGGCGUAAAGCGCACGUAGGCGGAUGUGUCAGUCAGGGGUGAAAUCCCGGAGCUCAACUUCGGAACUGCCCUUGAUACAGCACGUCUUGAGUCCGGAAGAGGUGGGUGGAAUUCCUAGUGUAGAGGUGAAAUUCGUAGAUAUUAGGAAGAACACCGGUGGCGAAGGCGACUCACUGGCCCGAUACUGACGCUGAGGCGCGAAAGCGUGGGGAGCAAACAGG